UACGUAGGGUGCGAGCGUUGUCCGGAAUUAUUGGGCGUAAAGGGCUCGUAGGCGGUCUGUUACGUCAGGAGUGAAAACUCGGGGCUCAACCCCGAGCCUGCUUCUGAUACGGGCAGACUGGAGGUAUGCAGGGGAGAACGGAAUUCCUGGUGUAGCGGUGAAAUGCGCAGAUAUCAGGAGGAACACCGGUGGCGAAGGCGGCAUCCUGGACCAAUACUGACGCUGAGGAGCGAAAGCUAGGGGAGCAAACGGG
rnacentral:rRNA from 1 species